rnacentral:rRNA from 1 species
UUAAAGCCAUACUACCAUGGGAAGCUAAACAUGAUUAGGCCUGGUUGGUACUUGGAUGGGGGACCACCUGGGAAUAUCAGGUACUGUUCAAG